AUAGUGAUUGACUUUCCAUAACAUCUUACAACUUCAAUAUGCUCAAACUUUUGCACUAGUGUCUUUCACUGGUACACUAUGCAUCCGUCCAAACAUCUCAACCUCUCUUGUCACAACUUUUUCUCAAUGGGUGUUAGUUUUGCUUUCCUAUGAAUGCAUUAAUUCCAUUUUUUUGGUUCAUACAGAAUUUCUUCACAUCCAUGCUAACAUCAUCAUUUCUGCUAAGCUAAUCUUGUGUAUUUAUUUGUUUUUUCACUGCCUUGUAUAAUAACUGGUCAAACGACAAUCCUGUAAAACUCUCUCCAAUGUUGUUGAUGUUUUGCUGUCACAUAGGACUCUUGUUGCACUUCUCCGCUGCACCAAUUAUGGUUUAAUUCUGUUUUUGACAUUUUCUUUACUUUUACCAUCCCUUUGAAUGAUAGAGCAUAGGUGUUUGAAGUUUGUGCUUUGCGACCUUCGCGCCAUCCAAGUUAGCCCCACUUUAAUUACUUCCCUUUCCAUUAAAAAAUUUUGAUGCUUAUACCCUGUCUCAAUUUUACUCAACUUGAAAUCUUUGGGAUCUGGGGCGCUCUUUUAUAACUUCUUGUUAAUGUCAUUGUCAAGUCAGGUUUCACCUAAAAUUAUGUUAUUCUUGAACAACAUGCAUGGAUGUCCUCUUGUUCAUGCUUGCUAACUAUUGAUGACCAAAGCAGGAAGGUUCAACACCAAAUAUCUCUUAGAUUAUAAAUAUAAAUGAAGACCUAAUUAAAGGGUAAGGCUCAAAUUUGAGCCAAAACAUAACAUCCUGCCCAUUCCAGCUAAGCAAUAAAUUAUUAAAGUACCCCAAUCCAUUUAAAUGAACAUACAUUUAAGACUCAAAAGGAUAAGAAAGUGCUCUAUUGAUGUCACAAAUAAGCUCUAAGACUGUAAUUCUAAAUCUCUCAACUUGUUCUGGAGUUCUUAUUAAGGAUAGCAGAAUGGCAUUGCUAAGCAAAUGCAUUAUCAUAAAUAAUGGAUAAAUAUAAUUCUACAGGUUGGAAAGAUGAUCAUGGGAAGGUAGCAGGUAUAUUGUACAAGUUAAGAGUCUUAUAACUUUUUAUUAAUUUUACUUUCUUAUUAUUUGUUUUACGCAUGAAGAGUGUUUCUUGUAUUGUUUGAAGUUUCUGCUUUCAUCUUUAGCAAGGGUUGAAUUUUGGUUACCCUACAAUCCUGAGGUGGUGAUAUGAAAUCCUGAACUAGUCAUUAAAGAAAUAGUGAAAUAGUGUUAGAGAGCUACUGUUGUGGCUAUCUGCAUUUGUUUGAUCCAAAACAAUGAUUUUUAUAAGCUGUAGUGCAGAAAGAAUACUCUGAAAAUAGAAAGAAAACAAUAAGCCUAGAACUUUUAUCCAUAGGAUCUAUUUGAUAGGGGAAGCAUUGCGAAAAUCAAUCUGCAAGGUUUCUCAUGAUAUUUCCAUUUUAUGGGAGGCUUUCUGGAUGGUGCUAGUUCUAGCUUGUUUGGACUUCUUAAUAUUGGAGAUUUAGCUUCAUUUUUCGUUUUCUCCCCCUCUAAUGUGUUAAAUAUUUGCCAUGAUUUUAGUCUGUGUGAUUGAUAUAAUCAAUUAACCUGUUCAUGUUGCAUGAAUAUGAUUGACCGUUUUUUGGACUUUAGAUGGCCAAUUUGUCAAAAUUGAUUUUUAUACUAAUGGCUUCAUUUAUAUGAUUGCCAUUGUGAGAACUUGAUACUUCAACAAUUGCAAAACAGUGAGGCCAAUUAGCCAAGGUAGAAAAAAAUGUAGAAAUGUGGGAACCAACUUUUAUAAUUGUUUCUUUCAUGGCGGGAACAAAACUUUGGAAUUAAUUCUUUCACAGAAAGAUGGAAAUUGUUUAUUUUCUUACCCUAGUCUGAUUUGCAGGUGCUGGACUGUCCUUUCUUGCUGGAGGUGUUUUUGGUUGGACCUUUGGACAGGAAAUCGCAAAUCACUGGCUGCAACUCUACAGGUUGGACACCAUGGCUGCACAAGUUAAGUUCAUGGAGUGGUGGGAGAAUAAAUGUGAUAGGCGGGAUUAAGUUUGCAGGCUGUUGAAUGCAGUAUUAUGAAAUCUGUUCACCUUUUCUACAAUAAUAAUCAAAUUUCCCAUGUUAAAAAUGUAAUGGUUUUUUGCUGUACUUUUGUUUGACAUUAGAACAAUAAAAAAUUUUGAUGGGAUUUACAAUCAUAUUUCCUUUCAUGGGAUGGAAACUGAUGAUAUUGCAGUUCGUUAGCAGUUUAUGCUGUUCAUGAAAAGAUGAUUAUGGUUUUUAUCUUUGACAUGAUUGUCCUGGAUUAACAAAG
rnacentral:misc_RNA from 1 species